CUCAAGCAUACUAUUUUCUCUGGAUUUCUGAGGAGAGUCUUAUUCACUUACUCACGGCUCCAGAAAACGAGCAACUUACCUGUAAAAUAUAGGAAGCCAAUUCAAACACCACUUCACUGUCGACAUCGAUCAGCUCCUGAAAGGGAAUUCCAACAGGGAAGGAUAAGUUACUUCACCUUUCUGCGACUCAGUUUCCUCAGCUAUAAAAUGGCCAUAACGACUAUGUUUACAUCUCCCAGUGGCUGUG